CCUGGUCGUGAAGCACUGAGCUGACGAUUCGUUAUAUUGCUCGAGGUCUGAUUUGAUCCAGGUCUCCAGGUGGAUAUGAACUGGGACGGGGCUAUGAGCAGAGUGUUUCAUCCAGAAAUGGGCUGAGAGGAAUCUAUCAUUGAAAGCUCAGGCAAAGGGGGUAAAUGCUUAUAUCAUUUAUCACCGACUGGUUCUUGUGCCUUACUCAGGUUUUCGUUUAACCACAUUGGAGCAUUAGCAUUUUUACUUCUCGUGAAAAGAACGCGUGCCAUUAGUUAGACGAACCAUCUGCUGUUAACAUCCGCAGCGUGGCAUGCAUGGUCUGAUUUGUAGGCAAGCACUGAAGUUACAACAUCCGAGACGACAGCUAUCAUGCAGAAAAUGCCAGCUCCCAGAUAGAUCCUGUUUUCUGAUAAGAUCAAUGGAACAACACUAACUUCAUUCUUGAACCAAUAUAGUUCAAAAACUUUUUGUGUAUUUCCCAAUGGCACUGAUAGCACAACAUAAAUAUUUGAUCAAAGUUGAUCUUCAAAACUAGUAUUGCUUCAUGAAAAAUGUGAAACAGUGAAUAAGAAUUUGAAGGCAAAA
rnacentral:lncRNA from 1 species